UAGGGAAUCUUCGGCAAUGGACGAAAGUCUGACCGAGCAACGCCGCGUGAGUGAAGAAGGUUUUCGGAUCGUAAAACUCUGUUGUUAGAGAAGAACAAGGACGUUAGUAACUGAACGUCCCCUGACGGUAUCUAACCAGAAAGCCACGGCUAACUACGUGCCAGCAGCCGCGGUAAUACGUAGGUGGCAAGCGUUGUCCGGAUUUAUUGGGCGUAAAGCGAGCGCAGGCGGUUUCUUAAGUCUGAUGUGAAAGCCCCCGGCUCAACCGGGGAGGGUCAUUGGAAACUGGGGGACUUGAGUGCAGAAGAGGAGGGUGGAAUUCCAUGUGUAGCGGUGAAAUGCGUAGAUAUAUGGAGGAACACCAGUGGCGAAGGCGGCUCUCUGGUCUGUAACUGACGCUGAGGAUCGAAAGCGUGGGGAGCAAACAGG
rnacentral:rRNA from 1 species